GGUUAGCCGAAAGAUUGUGUAUGGUACUCAACUAAUGGCUGUCUUUCCUUCUCUCUCUUCCAUAAUCGUAUUUCAACUCCAGCCAAAUUUAAUUUUCAGAUGUUUUAAUGUAAAAUUUAAGCUUUUAAUGUUAAGUUAUAUCUUGGAGACAAUGAUCAAUCUAAUUUGCUCCUUUGCAUUACCUGCCCUUAAAAAAGAUCUAGGGUGAUCUAACAUGAUCAAAUCUAUGUGUGGAUGCAGGAAAGAUUUUGCAUAUUAUGCGG
rnacentral:misc_RNA from 1 species